CUGGUAUGUACUAGCCUGCCGAUUCCUCCUUCUUGUAGAACCGUAAUGCCAUUAAUUUGGUGUUGCGGGGAAACAGGACUGUUACUUUGAAAAAAUUAGAGUGUUUAAAGCAGGCUAGCGCCUGAAUACAUUAGCAUGGAAUAAUGAAAUAGGACGUUCGAACCUAUUUUGUUGGUUUCUAGGAUUGACGUAAUGAUUAAUAGGGAUAGUUGGGGGCAUUAGUAUUCAAUUGUCAGAGGUGAAAUUCUUGGAUUUAUUGAAGACUGACUACUGCGAAAGCAUUUGCCAAGGAUGUUUUCAUUAAUCAAGAACGAAAGUUAGGGGAUCGAAGACGAUCAGAUACCGUCGUAGUCUUAACCAUAAACUAUGCCGACUAGGGAUCGGAUGAUGUUAAUUUUUUAAUGACUCAUUCGGCGCCUUACG
rnacentral:rRNA from 1 species